rnacentral:lncRNA from 1 species
UUACUAAAGAAAACAAAUGAGAAUAGUACUUCUAGCUCCAAAUCUGCUUCAGGACAUAAACACAAAACGAAAGAAAGAAACACAGGUCCCUGAGAGAAGUCUCUGCCUCACUCAAAGAUGAUUUGAGAUCCCCAUCUGAAAAGCUUUUUAGCCUCAGCCAACAAAUAAACACAGACCAGAGAUAGGAACGGAACCAAGAUGGGGAUACUCUUUAUCGGUUCUAUUCGUUGGCUCUCUCCGAGGCUGAAUCAACCUUCUGUUUUAUCAUCGUCUCAGCUUGUUGGAUUGCUCUCUGUGA